rnacentral:rRNA from 1 species
GAUGAACGCUAGCGGGAGGCCUAACACAUGCAAGCCGAGCGGUAUUGUUUCUUCGGAAAUGAGAGAGCGGCGUACGGGUGCGUAACGCGUGUGCAACCUGCCUUUAUCUGGGGGAUAGCCUUUCGAAAGGAAGAUUAAUACUCCAUAAUAUAUUGAACGGCAUCGUUUAAUAUUUAAAGCUCCGGCGGAUAGAGAUGGGCACGCGCAAGAUUAGCUAGUUGGUGAGGUAACGGCUCACCAAGGCGAUGAUCUUUAGGGGGCCUGAGAGGGUGAUCCCCCACACUGGUACUGAGACACGGACCAGACUCCUACGGGAGGCAGCAGUGAGGAAUAUUGGUCAAUGGGUGCAAGCCUGAACCAGCCAUCCCGCGUGAAGGACGACUGCCCUAUGGGUUGUAAACUUCUUUUGUAUAGGGAUAAACCUACCCUCGUGAGGGUAGCUGAAGGUACUAUACGAAUAAGCACCGGCUAACUCCGUG